UACGAAGGGUGCAAGCGUUACUCGGAAUCACUGGGCGUAAAGCGUGCGUAGGCGGUUCGUUAAGUCUGCUGUGAAAGCCCUGGGCUCAACCUGGGAACUGCAGUGGAUACUGGCAGACUUGAGGGAUGCAGAGGUUUGUGGAAUUCCUGGUGUAACGGUGAAAUGUGUUGAUAUCAGGAGGAACACCCAUGGCGAAGGCGAGCAAACUCGGGCAUCAUCUGACGCUGAGGCGCGA
rnacentral:rRNA from 1 species